rnacentral:rRNA from 1 species
UACGUAGGGUGCAAGCGUUGUCCGGAAUUAUUGGGCGUAAAGAGCUCGUAGGCGGUUUGUCGCGUCUGCUGUGAAAACCCAGGGCUUAACCCUGGGCCUGCAGUGGGUACGGGCAAACUAGAGUGCGGUAGGGGAGAUCGGAAUUCCUGGUGUAGCGGUGAAAUGCGCAGAUAUCAGGAGGAACACCGGUGGCGAAGGCGGAUCUCUGGGCCGUAACUGACGCCGAGGAGCGAAAGCAUGGGUAGCGAACAGG